UACGUAGGGGGCUAGCGUUGUCCGGAUUUAUUGGGCGUAAAGAGCGUGUAGGCGGCCAGGUAGGUCUGCUGUGAAAACUCGAGGCUCAACCUCGAGACGUCGGCGGAAACCAUCUGGCUAGAGUCCGGAAGAGGAGAGUGGAAGUUCCUGGUGUAGCGGUGAAAUGCGCAGAUAUCAGGAAGAACACCAAUGGCGAAGGCAGCUCUCUGGGACGGUACUGACGCUGAGACGCGAAAGCGUGGGGAGCGAACAGG
rnacentral:rRNA from 1 species